rnacentral:lncRNA from 1 species
CUCAGCAGCAGCACCUUGAGACUGUUGGCUCCUGCCCUCUCCAGUCCUGGGGUCUGGAUCUGUUUAAGAGACAACCAGUGCUCUGCAUUUCAAUUUUGAGCUCAGACCGAAAUGGAACAUGCUUGUAACUUUGCAGACGAACCUGCCUGGAGGCAGAAGCAAAACCCAUCAGGCCUCUCUGUUUCUAAUUACUUCGUGCUGAUGCUGUGGGAAUAUGCUGAGGCUGUGCCACCUCUGAUACUGCCAAAUGGCUCUGUGAUACGCAGCAGUGCCCCGGCCCCUCUCCAGGUAUUUCCU